GUCAACUAUACUAAUGACAUGAGUUUUUUUUUGUUUUGUUAUACGUACGUUUACUUUCACGCUGACAGUUCCUGUGCGAUUGAUUGUUCUCGUACCAUGGGUUUUGCCACAAGUGAUCUUCCCAGCCAUGGGUACCUGACAGCUAGCGCUACACCUGCCAUACCUGGAGUUCUUCGUUUUCUGCUACUCCUCUGCCGUCCUUUGGUCUUUUUCUCUGCUCGUCCUGGUCUCCUCAACCAUCUCCACCUUGCCCCUGGUAGUUCCCUGCAGUUCCCAGAAUGUCUCUUUACAACCCUCUGAAAUGAAGUGAACUUAUGUCUGCCCGCAGAGCAUGACGAGAGAAAGCGAGGAGGUGGAAUAUGCAGCACUGGCUAG